rnacentral:rRNA from 1 species
UACGUAGGGUGCGAGCGUUAAUCGGAAUUACUGGGCGUAAAGGGUGCGCAGGCGGUUAUAUAAGACAGAUGUGAAAUCCCCGGGCUCAACCUGGGAAUGGCCGUUGAAACUGGCGAACUGGAGUGUGGCAGAGGGGGGUGGAAUUCCGCGUGUAGCAGUGAAAUGCGUAGAGAUGCGGAGGAACACCGAUGGCGAAGGCAGCCCCCUGGGCUAACACUGACGCUCAGGCACGAAAGCGUGGGGAGCAAACAGG